UAAAGCUGCACCAUGCGGAGCAUCUGGUUAAUAUUGUGCUUAAACCAUGAUUGUGACAACAUAUGAAAAGUGUGAGCUGACAGUCUGCUAAGUUUUUAUCCAUAAGUCUCAUUCUGACUUUCUAUCUGACAGGUUUUUAUGUGUCAAUAUUUGUGUUUCAAUAUAAAAGGAAGAUGUGGUAUGAUAAUUGAUUGUUAAUGAG
rnacentral:lncRNA from 1 species